AUUGCACCCGAACCUCGGGCGACUGAAAAGCCACCGCCCCCACCCCAAACUGCGAGCCGCGCUCCUGGCGCACCCGCCUCCCGCCGGCCUAGCUGCAAUGACCGCACCGGCCCGAAGGUCUCGGUCUCUCCGACCCGGGAUGUGGAGCCCGAAAGAGUGGUGGGAACCCCAGCCCGGGAGGGACGCGGCCGCCGCUCGGGCCAGAUCCCCUUAUCCAGGCCACCUUUGGAAACCAGCCCACCUGCUACACCAACCUUUUCCCAACACCGUGGUCCCACCCCUACCUUCGCUGCUGAAAAACCGCAUUGUGUGGGGGUCUGGAAUCUUCUGGACUCCUGGGACCCCAAUCCGCUUGCCUCUUGUACCCCUCUUGCAGAGCAAUGAG
rnacentral:lncRNA from 1 species